UCAUCAUCCAGGUCGAGUUUAAGCCGAGGGUCGCCAGAUGUGCGGUAUUUCCCAGCUUUGGGCCUCGCAACAAAAGGGAAAUCACACGUGUUUUGAGUUCACAAAACGGAAAUUCAGGCAUUGGAAGUCUUAUACAAGAAGGGUACACUGAGGAAGAAGCAGUGCUAUUGCUUCACUGGAUGAGCAUAGUACAGAGGUGGAUGCGGAAGAUGCUGGAAUGGCAUUUAUGCUUCAAGCCAUUAGUAAGAGGAAGCACAAGGGUAAAAUUCAGUAUCUUGUGCAAUGGUCCAAUGGGGAGCCGCCAUCAUGGCAGUACAGUCAAGAUGUGGAUCCAAUAGUUAAGAAGGACUUCAACACUAAAAAAAAGUUCGUCAUGAUUGGGACGCUUGGAGUUCUGUUGUGCUUGGGAGCCAUAUAUAGUUGAAUUUCCCUCGCUAGACAGACUUGCUUUUAAAAACUCUCAGGGAUCUAUUAGCCAUGCUGUGUUGCCGGUCUUAUCCAAAAAUAAUUUUACGCGGUUGGAGUUCAGAAGAUAAUUUCAUCUACAUGUAUCAGUUGUUUCAAAACUAUUGUGAUUUUGCCAUUGGUGAAAUAUUGUUGUUCAUGUGGUAAUAAGAUUCUUGAUUUGCAUCAAAAGAAAAAUGCACCACCUGGUUUGUCCUAUGGAUAGACAACAAAUUUGAAAAAAUGCGUGGAUUGAUUUGUACGUGCACCACUGAUUCAAUUCUAGUUAAUUAACCUCGAAAUUUGGUUAAUAUGAUUUCCUAUUUUCCUUUUUACCUGAUAAACACAUUUUAAUUUGUCAUACUUGACUAUAAUGAGUGCACAUUUUGGCUGUUUUCUUCUGAGGCAGCAAUUCUCCCGUUGAUGUGGAAGGCCUGAUAAGAUUCUUGACAAUCUCUGGAAUUGAUUCUCCUGGGUAAAUAGUGAUGGUUAUAUAAUCAGAAUUUUGUAACUUUUGAAACUUGCAUAAUGUUCCCCUGUUUAAAUGAUACCUGGGAUACAAAAUUUCGGUUUUGUUGGGUUCCUAAUUUUGCCCCCACUGACUUUUGUAUUCUUGCUGUACUUGGAUGCUUGUACUUAAAAUUGUGGCUUGUUGUAUAUAAAAGGUCAAAUGUCCAUUAGACUGAGUUGAUUGGGUGUAGCCUCAUCUGUUCAUUGGAUGCCAUUAGAAGUACUGUUAACUCUUUCGCGUCCGCUCCCGGGCAUGGCCGGGUUGCGUUCCCAACAGUUGACGGCCGCUCCCGGCCAUGUCCGGGACCCUAUCUUCCCCGAUUCAAAUGCUUGUAGAGCCUACUAUGUGUACUAGGGAUAAAAUACGAGCACACCGUCUGCUUCGUAGAUAGUAUCGCCAUCUAUACAAAUUUUGACACCUUAUAUUGGCGGUUUGGGAGCUGGUAUUGACCUUUUAGUCGGGCAUCUUACCACGUGCAUGGUGUGAUAUUUGUUCCAGGUUUUCGAUUUUGCUAGCCAUAGGUAAAAGCCCUAUCUACACAUGUAACUGUUACUAACACGUAGUUUUAAGUCCAGAAGUCUCAGAAAUACAUUGAUUGCCAGUUUUAGCUAGGAUUUCAGUGGUUUUAGUGAUGUUUUUGUGAGGCCACGUGCUGAACAGUUCAGGCCUAUGCUAUACAGCCUCCCUUCUUCAUCAGAUUAUACGAUUUGUACACUAUAUUUUUCUCUCUUGCAUGUUUUAUGCAUUUCUCAGUGAUCUCAAAUGCAUCCUGAGGAUUGUGAUUUGCCAAGGUAUGGGUGUUUGAAGGCUUCAGGUACCUUUUUGUUGGAGUGGCCCAAACCCUGAAGUAUAACAGGACAUAUAUAUUGUAAUGUUUCUCAUCAUCAAAGUGCACUUGUCCCUGCAGGUAUUUUGUGAGCCAAAUCAAAGUGGCUUAGUUAGAAAACACUUACCGGUAUUCUUUUCAGAAAAGAUGGAAACUGAUGAGAUAGCCCAGAUUUUUAUGCAUAUGGAUUCUGAAGAUGAUUUUGGGGGAGAUAGCGACGAUGAAGACGAUCAGAUGGAUUAUCAAAGUGCAAGCCCUGAACCUCUGAUUCUCUGAUGCAGGAGAUGCUGUGAGGCUGGAGGCAAGAUACUCUGAGCAUUGGCCUGAAGAUCUUCCUUUUCAGGAUGCUACACCUGGGGUGAAGAGACGGAGGAAGUUGCGCAUUUGUGCACAAUGUCGAAAGGAUCCAAAUCCAUAUGUUGUGAACCACGACCUUCCACGUGUUCCCCCCAGGCCGGAGUCAUCAGUCCAAUGCCUUAAGUGCCAGGUAGCCCUCCACAUCACCCCCUGCUUCAAGCUGUGGCAUACAUCUGCCUAAUUAAUUCAACAAACAAGCUGGUAAUUGAAAAGUGUUUUUUUAGCAUUUAUCAGCUAUGAUCCGAAUCAUGCCCCCCACGACCCCCAAGCCCGGGGGGGGGGGGAUACAACAAAAGCUUGUCUUCUAUAUUGUUCUUUGAAUGUUUCCUCCCAAAAUUUAAUGUUUUCAGUGAUAAAUAACUAAAGGUAAACCAUUUUGAUUCAUUUCAAAACCGUUCAUAAUCAUUGAAAAAUGUGAAAAAAAUUUCGACCCUUGCACUCAGUUACUAUAAUAUUUUGCCUACAAGGGUUUAAUCUUUUGACCUGAAACACUACAUGCUAUUAGCUUAUGUUCUUAUCAUCAUUUCCUGAAAGUUUCAAAGCUGUAUUGAGUGAAAUAAACUUUCUAAACGUUUUCAAGUGAAAACAAGGAAAAUUUCCCUUUUUGCACCGAAUGACCCCAGAUUUUAGACCCCAAGGGGUUAAAAUUUUUGAAAACUUUGACUAUGUUCAUGUAGCUAAAGGUCUUGCCAUUAGUUUGUAAAAGUGUCGCCUUCAUAUUCCGAGCAACAAAAGUUCUAUGAUUUUUUUAGCAAAAAAUUUCUUUUUCUGCAUUCUUCCAAAAAAGUAUGCGGCCAGAGACUACGGUACACUAUAAAAGUAUGUGGACGCGAAAGGGUUAAGGGCCAGUUUAUGCUUUGUCACGAAAUAAAAAUGUUAAGCUCUGUGGUCAUGAUUAUGUCUUGAAAGACAGCUUGAUGAUUGGGUGUUUCUCUUCGGCCAAAACAACAUUUUUGCCAAGAAGAUUUGGCCGUCUCUUGUUCUGAACUCUUUAAUUGUUAGUGUUAAACAAAUUCUGGUGCAGACUAAUUUUGUUACCCAGAGUGCAUGGUAUUUUACUGUGCUGCAUUUUACACUUACGAAAUAUAU